rnacentral:rRNA from 1 species
UCGGGAAUUUUGGGCAAUGGGCGAAAGCCUGACCCAGCAACGCCGCGUGAAGGAUGAAGUAUUUCGGUAUGUAAACUUCGAAAGAAUAGGAAGAAUAAAUGACGGUACUAUUUAUAAGGUCCGGCUAACUACGUGCCAGCAGCCGCGGUAAUACGUAGGGACCAAGCGUUGUUCGGAUUUACUGGGCGUAAAGGGCGCGUAGGCGGCAAUUCAAGUCAUCUGUGAAAUCUCCGGGCUUAACUCGGAACGGUCAGAUGAUACUGCUUUGCUAGAGUGCAGAAGGGGCAAUCGGAAUUCUUGGUGUAGCGGUGAAAUGCGUAGAUAUCAAGAGGAACACCUGAGGUGAAGACGGGUUGCUGGGCUGACACUGACGCUGAGGUGCGAAAGC